rnacentral:lncRNA from 1 species
GCUUUCCUGACUCCCAGGCGUCUUGCACCAAAGGGAGGUCGGGAUCUCGGUUUUCCGGCCCCGAGAGGGACCAGGUGCCUCCGCCAUAGCUUCUGUCGCUCCAUCGCCCGCACUGUGACUGGACUGUUAGAGGGAUCCGUGGAGAGGAGGCCAGGACACCUGGAAGCCGGGAAAUGGAUUCAGUGGUCUUUGAGGAUGUAGAUGUGAACUUCACCCAGGAGGAGUGGGCUUUGCUGGAUCCUUCCCAGAAGAAUCUCUACAGAGAUGUGAUGCAGGAAACCUUCAGGAACCUGGCUUCUGUAGGAAAAAAAUGGAAAGAUCAGAAAAUUGAAGAUGAGUACAAAAAUCCCAGGAGAAACCUAAGUCUUAGAAAGUGGAGUUGGUCGCUGUACGCAAGACAGACAUUGGGGCUGGACUCACCAUCAGUGGCCCCGAAAAGGUUGUUGUCGGGAUACCAGAUUUCCUACUCCGAGAGGCCCCGGGUCCCUCUGCCACAACUUCUGUCGCUCUGCCGCCUGCACCGUGACCCGCACUAUUCACGGGAGCCCUAGAGAGGACACCGGGACACCCAGAAGCCGGGAAAUGAUGUUUCAGGAUUCAGUGGCCUUUGAGGAUGUGGCUGUCAGCUUCACCCAGGAGGAGUGGGCUUUGCUGGAUCCUUCCCAGAAGAAUCUCUACAGGGAUGUGAUGCAGGAAACCUUCAAGAACCUGACCUCUGUAGGAAAAACAUGGAAAGUUCAGAACAUUGAAGAUGAGUACAAAAAUCCCAGGAGAAAUCUAAGUCUUAUGAGAGAGAAACUCUGUGAAAGUAAAGAAAGUCAUCACUGUGGAGAAAGCUUCAACCAGAUUGCAGAUGACAUGCUGAACAGGAAAACUCUUCCUGGAAUAACACCAUGUGAAAGCAGUGUGUGUGGAGAAGUUGGCACGGGUCAUUCAUCUCUUAAUACGCAUAUCAGAGCUGACACUGGACACAAGUCAUCUGAGUAUCAGGAAUAUGGAGAGAAUCCAUAUAGAAAUAAGGAAUGUAAGAAAGCCUUCAGUUAUCUUGACUCCUUUCAAUCACAUGAUAAAGCUUGCACUAAAGAGAAACCCUAUGAUGGUAAAGAAUGUACAGAAACCUUCAUUUCCCAUUCAUGCAUUCAAAGACACAGGGUAAUGCACAGUGGAGAUGGACCUUAUAAAUGUAAGUUUUGUGGGAAAGCCUUCUAUUUUCUCAAUUUAUGUCUUAUCCAUGAACGAAUUCACACUGGUGUGAAACCAUAUAAGUGUAAACAAUGUGGUAAGGCCUUUACUCGUUCCACUACCCUUCCAGUACAUGAAAGAACUCACACAGGAGUGAAUGCCGAUGAAUGUAAAGAAUGUGGGAAUGCAUUCAGUUUUCCUAGUGAAAUUCGUAGACAUAAAAGGUCUCACACUGGAGAAAAACCCUAUGAGUGUAAGCAAUGUGGGAAAGUCUUCAUUUCUUUCAGUUCCAUUCAGUAUCAUAAGAUGACUCACACUGGAGAGAAACCCUAUGAAUGUAAGCAGUGUGGGAAAGCCUUUAGAUGUGGCUCACACCUUCAAAAGCAUGGAAGGACUCACACUGGAGAGAAACCCUAUGAAUGUAGGCAAUGUGGUAAAGCCUUCAGAUGUACCUCGGACCUUCAAAGGCAUGAAAAGACACACACUGAGGAUAAACCCUAUGGAUGUAAGCAGUGUGGGAAAGGCUUUAGAUGUGCUUCACAACUUCAAAUUCAUGAAAGGACGCACAGUGGAGAGAAACCCCAUGAAUGUAAGGAAUGUGGAAAAGUAUUCAAGUAUUUUUCUUCCUUGCGUAUACAUGAAAGGACGCACACUGGAGAGAAGCCCCAUGAAUGUAAGCAAUGUGGAAAAGCAUUCAGGUAUUUCUCUUCCUUGCAUAUACAUGAAAGGACACACACUGGAGAUAAGCCAUAUGAGUGUAAGGUAUGUGGCAAAGCCUUCACUUGUUCCAGUUCCAUUCGAUAUCAUGAAAGGACUCACACUGGAGAGAAACCCUAUGAAUGUAAGCACUGUGGUAAGGCCUUUAUUUCCAAUUACAUUCGAUAUCAUGAAAGGACUCACACUGGAGAGAAACCCUAUCAAUGCAAGCAAUGUGGCAAAGCCUUUAUUCGUGCCAGUUCAUGUCGAGAACAUGAAAGAACUCAUACCAUUAAUAGAUGAGAAAUCCUUUUAGUGGAAGCAACGGGAGAAGCUUUCUGUUGUCCCACUUCCUUUGAAACACAAGAAAAGAGAGUGGUGAAAGAACCUCUGGAUAACUGCUUUUUGAAUUGAGAAGAGAGACUUGCGAUAGGACAAUAAAAUCUAGAAGAACUUGGAUGGUUUCGUAAUACAAUUCACCUAUAGCCAAUCUUGCAUGAGAUUUCAAAGGCACAGAAAAGGAAGGCAUCAGUCACAUAUUAGAGGCCCCACACAGGGAGAGAGGUGUGUGGCUACCCGCUUCCAGCCCAUUUUCCUGAUUCUUUGGCUUGUUAAUCGAGAAUAUCCCCCAAAUCACUUGUCUCUGUUCCUCAGAGUUGUAGGUCUCCAGAUAUGUCCCCAGUGCUCCACAUUAAAGAUACAUGCCCACUUUGCUGUUUCUUCAGAAAUGUUAAAAUGUUUACCAGAGAACUAAUAAAUGUUGUUAUGGCUGGAAAUACUCACUGAUGCCCAACUCUUCUAUAGAUUGAGUUGGUUUAAGAGGUCUACUUUGUAUUGCAAGCAUUGUUGUUUCUACGGAUUAGCGAGCCUGUUCUUGAUUAAACCAACUAGAUGGGAGCUUGUUCCUCUGCUGCAUUGUGCAGUGAUUGGUCUCACCAAGGGCUUUUAUGUGAGAAGAGCCACCUUGCUCUUAUCAGGAAAUUUCAAGCAUUUGCUGUUAUUCACAACUGAAUGUAAUGUCUCACUUCGUUUUUAACUUUGUAUGAGUAUACCUGACUAAAAACACUAAUGCGGUUUCUUGGCAACAAAUACUUCUGUUCAUGUAUUUUAGAAAUAAGCUUAUUAACUGUUUAUAACAACUGCAUACUAACAAUUAUUAUUUUUUAAUGAAGAAGCUACAUUACAACCUCCCAUUAACAUCAUGUAUUAGAUCAAGUUGAUAAUGUUACCAUGUUAUCCGGUGGUCACUGUGAGUCAGUGUUGCCAUGUGGAUGUCAGGCAUAUUUUUCCUCAUGUAGAUUUUACUUUUCAUGCUUAUAUUCUUAGUUUUUAUCUGGAUCAUGAAUUUUCAUCUAUUCUAAAUACCAAAGGUGAUCUCAUGUUCUUAUGAGUGACUUCUGACCAAAGACCACCAGUGGCAUAAGUGUCGUCAAAGAGGGUGUAAUAAUAUACUGUGGUAAUGAAUAUGACCAAAAGCCAUAGAUGACUGUGAGAUGUGUGAGAUAUUAAAAGAUAGUCACAUUUCGUGAGAAGAGAAAAA